GACGAACGCUGGCGGCGUGCUUAACACAUGCAAGUCGAGCGGUAAGGCCCUUUCGGGGGUACACGAGCGGCGAACGGGUGAGUAACACGUGGGUGACCUGCCCUCAGCUCUGGGAUAAGCCUGGGAAACCGGGUCUAAUACCGGAUAUGACUCCAUGACGCAUGUUGUGGGGUGGAAAGCCUUGUGCGGCUGAGGAUGGGCCCGCGGCCUAUCAGCUUGUUGGUGGGGUGAUGGCCUACCAAGGCGACGACGGGUAGCCGGCCUGAGAGGGUGACCGGCCACACUGGGACUGAGACACGGCCCAGACUCCUACGGGAGGCAGCAGUGGGGAAUAUUGGACAAUGGGCGAAAGCCUGAUCCAGCAACGCCGCGUGAGGGAUGACGGCCUGG
rnacentral:rRNA from 1 species